AACGCACGAGACCUGCGGACCUGCGGAAGGAUCAUUACCGAGCUAUCCAACUCCCAACCCCUGUGAAUUAUACCUUUAAUUGUUGCUUCGGCGGGACUUCGCGCCCGCCGGGGACCCAAACCUUCUGAAUUUUUUAAUAAGUAUCUUCUGAGUGGUUAAAAAAAUGAAUCAAAACUUUCAACAAUGGAUCUCU
rnacentral:misc_RNA from 1 species